AUGGGAGUUACAAAGGAACGGGGUAGACGAAGCGGUCUGGAAAGGCCCGCCAGAGAAGGUGACAGCCCUGUAGUCGAAACUUCGUUCCCUCCCGAGUGGAUCCUGAGUACGGCGGGACACGGGGAAUCCCGUCGGAAGCAGGGAGGACCAUCUCCCAAGGCUAAAUACUCCCUAGUGACCGAUAGUGAACCAGUACCGUGAGGGAAAGGUGAAAAGCACCCCGGAAGGGGAGUGAAAGAGAACCUGAAACCGUGUGCCUACAAGUAGUCAGAGCCCGUUUAUGGGUGAUGGCGUGCCUUUUGUAGAAUGAACCGGCGAGUUACGAUGACGUGCGAGGUUAAGUCGAAGAGACGGAGCCGCAGCGAAAGCGAGUCUGAAUAGGGCGUUAAGUACGUCGUCGUAGACCCGAAACCAGGUGAUCUACCCAUGUCCAGGGUGAAGGUAGGGUAACACCUACUGGAGGCCCGAACCCACGCACGUUGAAAAGUGCGGGGAUGAGGUGUGGGUAGGGGUGAAAUGCCAAUCGAACCUGGAGAUAGCUGGUUCUCCCCGAAAUAGCUUUAGGGCUAGCCUCAAGGGAAGAGUCUUGGAGGUAGAGCACUGAUUGAGCUAGGGGCCCUCAUCGGGUUACCGAACUCAGUCAAACUCCGAAUGCCAACGACUUAUCCUUGGGAGUCAGACUACGAGUGAUAAGAUCCGUGGUCGAGAGGGAAACAGCCCAGACCACCAGCUAAGGUCCCAAAGUGCACGUUAAGUGGAAAAGGAUGUGGAGUUGCCCAGACAACCAGGAUGUUGGCUUAGAAGCAGCCAUCAUUUAAAGAGUGCGUAAUAGCUCACUGGUCGAGUGACUCUGCGCCGAAAAUGUACCGGGGCUAAACGUGCCACCGAAGCUGUGGGAUGACC
rnacentral:rRNA from 1 species